rnacentral:rRNA from 1 species
ACUUAAGUGUUGUUGGGUAGGGGAGCGUUCUGUAAGCCGUUGAAGGUGUGCUGUGAGGCAUGCUGGAGGUAUCAGAAGUGCGAAUGCUGACAUAAGUAACGAUAAAGCGGGUGAAAAGCCCGCUCGCCGGAAGACCAAGGGUUCCUGUCCAACGUUAAUCGGGGCAGGGUGAGUCGACCCCUAAGGCGAGGCCGAAAGGCGUAGUCGAUGGGAAACGGGUUAAUAUUCCCGUACUUGGUGUUACUGCGAAGGGGGGACGGAGAAGGCUAUGUUGGCCGGGCGACGGUUGUCCCGGUUUAAGCGUGUAGGCUGGUUUUCCAGGCAAAUCCGGAAAAUCAAGGCUGAGGCGUGACGACGAGGCACCACGGUGCUGAAGCAACAAAUGCCCUGCUUCCAGGAAAAGCCUCUAAGCUCCAGGUAACACGAAAUCGUACCCCAA